CCGGAACUGCCUUUGGAAACUGGUGCUUUGGAAACCGCAUCGGUAUCAAUCGUCCCAUCCUAGUAACGAGCCGUGUGGUUGCGUCAACCUUGCUGUCAAGUUGGGUCGUAACAAAAUGUGAAGAGAUCUAGCUAACGAUGUGAUUAAUAUAUAGUUAGCAAAUAACCAACGUCUUAUUGGUCAAACAAGGGAUCUUUUUUUGCCAGGUAUUUCGUAUGGAAACAUACCGAGGAUAUUAAUGUUUACGAUAGCAUGCCAGUCAGCUAGCUUGCUAACGUUUAGUUAUUUGGGCACGUUUACAAAUAAUGUCAGUUUACUAAACUAGCUCAGUAGCUGGUACAGUUGUCAACGGAUUAGCCUUAUGCUAACAAUCUAGCUAAUAUCGUUCUGAGGUAGACAAGAAGGUUUAAGCUUUAGGUCAAUAAAAUUAUAAGUUAUAUAUGUUAACGUUAGUUAGUUAAUGAGUUACUAGUCACAUUUUUGUCACUAGCGAAAUACAUGUGCUUCUAGUUCCGACAAUGCAGCAAUAACCAACGAGUAAUCUAACCUAACAAUUCCACAACAACUACCUCAUACACACAAGUGUAAAGGAAUUAAUAAGAAUAUGUACAUAAAGAUAUAUGAAUGAGUGAUGGCCGUGCGGUAUUGGCAAGAUGCAGUAGAUUGUAUAGAAUACAGUAUAUACAUAUUGGGAGGCAGGUAGCCUAGUGGUUAGAGAGUUGGACCGGGAGGCAGGUAGCCUAGUGGUUAGAGAGUUGGACCGGGAGGCAGGUAGCCUAGUGGUUAGAGAGUUGGACCGGGAGGCAGGUAGCCUAGUGGUCAGAGAGUUGGACCGGGAGAUAGGUAGCCUAGUGGUCAGAGAGUUGGACCGGGAGGCAGGUAGCCUAGUGGUUAGAGAGUUGGACCGGGAGGCAGGUAGCCUAGUGGUUAGAGAGUUGGACCGGGAGGCAGGUAGCCUAGUGGUUAGAGAGUUGGACCGGGAGGCAGGUAGCCUAGUGGUUAGAGAGUUGGACCGGGAGGCAGGUAGCCUAGUGGUUAGAGAGUUGGACCGGGAGGCAGGUAGCCUAGUGGUUAGAGAGUUGGACCGGGAGGCAGGUAGCCUAGUGGUUAGAGAGUUGGACCGGGAGGCAGGUAGCCUAGUGGUUAGAGAGUUGGACCGGGAGGCAGGUAGCCUAGUGGUUAGAGAGUUGGACCGGGAGGCAGGUAGCCCAGUGGUCAGAGCGUUGGACCAGUUGGACCGGGAGGCAGGUAGCCUAGUGGUUAGAGAGUUGGGCCGGGAUGCAGGAAGCCUAGUGGUCAGAGAGUUGGACCAGUUGGACCGGGAGGCAGGUAGCCUAGUGGUUAGAGAGUUGGGCCGGGAUGCAGGUAGCCUAGUGGUUAGAGAGUUGGACCAGUUGGACCGGGAGGCAGGUAGCCUAGAGGUUAGAGAGUUGGACCAGUUGGACCGGGAGGCAGGUAGCCUAGUGGUCAGAGAGUAGGUCCGGGAUGCAGGAAGCCCAGUGGUCAGAGAGUUGUGCCGGGAUGCAGGAAGCCUUCUGAUACUUUACCAGUGAGGAACUCGGAGCUACGUGUUUAAAAGUCUGAAAUGUCAUAGUUCCUAGUUGUCUUGAAUGCGGCAUUUCUGCAAUCUUAAUCACUUCCAUAAUUCUUGACUCAUUGAAUAUUCAUGAGUACAUGUUGCGGAAGUGACAGAUUGGAUUGAUCAACAUAGUCUUUGCAUAGUCUUUGCAUACAGAUAGUCAAUGUGCCAUUUCUAUAAUGGAACCAACUAUAUUUGUUCAGGGUUGUUCACUCUCUGAUGUAAAUUGUCAAUGAUAAGGUAGCCUAAUUGGGAAAUGGCCAGGUAGCCUAAUUGGGAAAUGGCCAGGUAGCCUAAUUGGGAAUUGGCCAGGUAGCCUAACUGGGAAAUGGCCAGGUAGCCUAACUGGGAAAUGGCCAGGUAGCCUAACUGGGAAAUGGCCAGGUAGCCUAACUGGGAAAUGGCCAGGUAGCCUAACUGGGAAAUGGCCAGGUAGCCUAACUGGGAAAUGGCCAGGUAGCCUAACUGGGAAAUGGCCAGGUAGCCUAACUGGGAAAUGGCCAGGUGGUAGCCUAACUGGGAAAUGGCCAGGUGGUAGCCUAACUGGGAAAUGGCCAGGUAGCCGCCUAACUGGGAAAUGGCCAGGUAGCCGCCUAACUGGGAAAUGGCCAGGUAGCCGCCUAACUGGGAAAUGGCCAGGUAGCCGCCUAACUGGGAAAUGGCCAGGUAGCAGCCUAACUGGGAAAUGGCCAGGUAGCCGCCUAACUGGGAAAUGGCCAGGUAGCCGCCUAACUGGGAAAUGGCCAGGUAGCCGCCUAACUGGGAAAUGGCCAGGUAGCCUAACUGGGAAAUGGCCAGGUAGCCUAACUGGGAAAUGGCCAGGUAGCCUAACUGGGAAAUGGCCAGGUAGCCUAACUGGGAAAUGGCCAGGUGGUAGCCUAACUGGGAAAUGGCCAGGUGGUAGCCUAACUGGGAAAUGGCCAGGUGGUAGCCUAACUGGGAA